GACGAACGCUGGCGGCGUGCUUAACCCAUGCAAGUCGAACGAAGUUGCGAACGGGUGAGUAACGCGUAGGUAACUGCCUGGUAGCGGGGGAUAACUAUUGGAAACGAUAGCUAAUACCGCAUACUACCAGAUGGACCUGCGUUGUAUUAGCUAGUUGGUGGGGUAACGGCUCACCAAGGCAACGAUACAUAGCAGACCUGAGAGGGUGUUCGGCCACACUUGGACUGAGAAACGGCCCAGACUCCUACGGGAGGCAGCCGUAGGGAAUCUUCGGCAAUGGGCGGAAGUCUGACCGAGCAACGCCGCGUGAGUGAAGAAGGGUUUCGGAUCGUAAAGCUCUGUUGUAAGAGAAGCGGUAUCUUACCAGAAAGGGACGGCUAACUACGUGCCAGCAGCCGCGGUAAUAC
rnacentral:rRNA from 1 species